AACGCUGGCGGCGUGCCUAAUACAUGCAAGUCGAACGGAAACCUUCGGGUUUUAGUGGCGAACGGGUGAGUAACACGUAAGCAACCUGCCUUUAAGACGAGGAUAACAAUUGGAAACAGUUGCUAAGACUGGAUAGGAAAUUAAAAGGCAUCUUUUAAUUUUUUAAAAGACCUUUUUCGGAAGGUAUGCUUAAAGAGGGGCUUGCGCCACAUUAGUUAGUUGGUAAGGUAAAGGCUUACCAAGACGAUGAUGUGUAGCUGGACUGAGAGGUUGAACAGCCACAUUGGGACUGAGACACGGCCCAAACUCCUACGGGAGGCAGCAGUAAGGAAUUUUUGGCAAUGGAGGAAACUCUGACCGAGCGACGCCGCGUGAACAAUGAAGUACUUCGGUAUGUAAAGUUCUUUUAUUGAAAAAGAAAAAAUAGUGGAAAAACUAUCUUGACAUUAUUCAAUGAAUAAGCCCCGGCUAAUUAUGUGCCAGCAGCCGCGGUAAUACAUAAGGGGCGAGCGUUAUCCGGAAUUAUUGGGCGUAAAGGGUGCGUAGGCGGUUUGAUAAGUCUAUAGUUUAAUUGCAGUGCUUAACGCUGUACCGCUAUAGAAACUGUCUGACUAGAGUUAGAUAGAGGCAAGCGGAAUUCCAUGUGUAGCGGUAAAAUGCGUAAAUAUAUGGAGGAACACCAGAGGCGUAGGCGGCUUGCUGGGUCUUAACUGACGCUGAGGCACGAAAGCGUGGGGAGCAAACAGGAUUAGAUACCCUGGUAGUCCACGCCGUAAACGAUGAGUACUAAGUGUCGGGUUUUGGCUCGGUACUGAAGUUAACACAUUAAGUACUCCGCCUGAGUAGUACGUACGCAAGUAUGAAACUUAAAGGAAUUGACGGGACCCCGCACAAGCGGUGGAUCAUGUUGUUUAAUUCGAAGAUACACGAAAAACCUACCAGGUCUUGACAUAAUUUUGCGACAUUAUAGAAACAUAAUGAACUGGUGAUGCACACAGGUGGUGCACAGUUGUCGUCAGCUCGUGUCGUGAGAUGUAAGGAGUCCUAAAACA
rnacentral:rRNA from 1 species